AGUGAACGCUGGCGGUAGGCCUAACACAUGCAAGUCGAACGGCAGCACAGUAAGAGCUUGCUCUUACGGGUGGCGAGUGGCGGACGUGUGAGGAAUACAUCGGAAUCUACUUUUUCGUGGGGGAUAACGUAGGGAAACUUACGCUAAUACCGCAUACGACCUACGGGUGAAAGCAGGGGAUCUUCGGACCUUGCGCGAUUGAAUGAGCCGAUGUCGGAUUAGCUAGUUGGCGGGGUAAAGGCCCACCAAGGCGACGAUCCGUAGCUGGUCUGAGAGGAUGGUCGGCCACACUGGAACGGAGACACGGUCCAGGCUCCUACGGGAGGCAGCAGUGGGGAAUAUUGGGCAAUGGGGGCAAACCUGACACAGCCAUACCGCGUGGGUGAAGAAGGCCUUCGGGUUGUAAAGCCCUUUUGUUGGGAAAGAAAAGCAGCAGGUUAAUACCCAGCUGUUCUGACGGUACCCAAAGAAUAAGCACCGGCUAACUUCGUG
rnacentral:rRNA from 1 species